rnacentral:rRNA from 1 species
UGGGGAAUUUUGGACAAUGGGCGAAAGCCUGAUCCAGCAAUGCCGCGUGUGUGAAGAAGGCCUUCGGGUUGUAAAGCACUUUUGCCCGGAAAGAAAUCCUUGGCUCUAAUACAGUCGGGGGAUGACGGUACCGGAAGAAUAAGCACCGGCUAACUACGUGCCAGCAGCCGCGGUAAUACGUAGGGUGCAAGCGUUAAUCGGAAUUACUGGGCGUAAAGCGUGCGCAGGCGGUUUGCUAAGACCGAUGUGAAAUCCCCGGGCCCAACCUGGGAACUGCAUUGGUGACUGGCAGGCUAGAGUAUGGCAGAGGGGGGUAGAAUUCCACGUGUAGCAGUGAAAUGCGUAGAGAUGUGGAGGAAUACCGGUGGCGAAGGCAGCCCCCUGGGCCAAUACUGACGCUCAUGCACGAAAGCGUGGGGAGCAAACAGGAUUAGAUACCCUGGUAGUCCACGCCCUAAACGAUGUCAACUAGUUGCUUGGGGAUUCAUCUCCUUAGUAACGUAGCUAACGCGUGAAGUUG